CUGGAAGCAGGCUGACACAUUUUCUAGGAUUCUAGGACAAAGGGACAAUCAGCUAUAAAGUUUCUGAAUGACCUAUUCCAGGAUAUAAAAUAUAAAUCCACUUUGGAACAAGCCAUUUACCUGCAGUCCAAGACAGAAAACCAUCUUCUCAGUAGCAAAUGUCUUACCAUGGCUGCCGUCCAGAGAAUUCGAAACCAGAGCUUUGCUCUGGGCGAGGAUCCAGGAGAGUAAUUAGGAUUCCACAGCUGAAGAGCCCCAAACUUUAAGGAGGACCCAGAGGCUACACUGACUGCGUCUUCAAGCCUUUGAUGCCCAGAUGUUUAGGAAGACUUCCAGAGCAAAAGGGGACACAUUACCCAGGAUAGAUUGCAAGCUGAGUCAUCCUCAAAACCUCAGUAUUAUUGAUUGGUUCAAAUUAGGGAGAUAUGGCCUAAAAAGCAGGACCUUGAAAGAAUGAAGCACAGAAAACUUAAAAAGCUGCCAAGAUUGGGAGCACUCACCACCUAAGAAGAGCAGAAUAGUGCCCAGCGCACAGAGGAGGCCUCAUCAGUGCAAUCCCUUCCCUUCCUGUCUUGCCUGAGCUGCACGGCGGAAUGACAGGGGGAGAAGGCUGGACGCCAGAGACCCUGGAUCCUAGAAGAAGGCGCAACAAAAAGUCGAAGGUCCUCUGAACAGGUGAUAAGAGACGCUCCAAGGCGGACAAUCUAUUUUGUCAAACACACCAAAGGUGAGCCCUCUCUAUUCACACGAGGGCUGUUCCCUGUGCCAUUUUUGAGUUAAGAUGGAUGGUCCCGAAGUGUGGCACAGGUUUUGAUUCUAUCUCCUUACCUGGAAGUCUACCUGAGGAUUCACUAAGAAGGAGCCUAUAGCUAGUCGUUGUUACCCGGGCGUUUCCCUGGAUAGCCACAAUGCCCUGUGAUAAGUGCUCGUCAUAACUGUAGUUGCAGCAACAGCAACCACUAACUAAGCACGUGGAAUAUGUUAGAUGAGGCACCAAAUUCCGUACGUAUAUGUAUCAUCUCAUCUGAUCCUCUCAACAGCCCUCAAAAGUUGACAUCAUUACUCCUACUUCGUGUAUUUAAUACGGAAUAGAAAGGUCAAGUAAUUUGCCCAUGACCACCCAGCUGGUGUGUGGUGGUGCUGGAAAUAAUUUAUUUCAGACUCCAAACAUCGUAUUCUUGACGCUUACAUUGUAUUCUUUGUUACUGUUACCCUCAUCAUCCAUGAUCUGGGGAAACUGAGGCACAGAGUGUUAAUCCAUUAAGGUAAGUGUUUGAGAUAAAUUUGAGACUUAAAAGCAAACAUUUGCUUCGUAAUUGUCCAGCCGUUCAUUUUACUAAUAUUUAUGGUGAGAAUAAUUAAGUAAUAUAAUGAAUAUCUACAGUGAAGUAUAAUUGAACAUGGUAAAUAUAUUACUAAUAAAUGAAAAAAUAAACGUUAGUGCAAUCAUAAGUGUUAUUUCCUUCACAACUUACUGUCUUCCACUCAAAAGCCUUCUUUAAUCUCCUCUAAAGCAGGAAUUCUUAGUCCUGGUCCUAAAGGCUUCUGGAUAGCAUCUGGGGGUGGGAAGGGGAGGAGGUACAUAGAUUUGGGUAGGAAAAGGUGACAUUUUUAUUUCACUACCUCUAAUUGAAAUGUAAUUUGCCAUCUAUAAAUGUUGGCAACAUUGGUAGCAUGUAGGAAUAUCUGUAACUUUUCACCAAUAGAAAUUGCAUAUUUUUAUAUUAUUAUUUUACAGCUGUGACGAAUGUCUUGAAAUGUCAUUUGUGCUUAUCUCUACUUGAAAAUCACGGUAGUUAUUAGACCUCCUGCUUAAUCUAAUCCUUUAAUAAGGAAGCAUACAUGUAUUACUUUCACAUUUUGAGAAGUGCAUCUCAGUGUAAGUAGUCUCUUUGGUAAGCCUGCUCAGUUUCUUUUAUGUAUUUGAAGACAUCGAGGAGAGUCCAUGGGCUUUACCAUAGAAAAGUCUGAGCGCUCUGCCCGAAGCCACGCAUCAGGGGGACUGUUCUGACAGGUGGCAGCUGGGUGCAGAGAGGGUGACCUGCCUGGCCUUUCCAAGCAUAGGGUCUGGACCUAAGCCCAGCCUGAGAAAUCCCUUCCUUCUGCCUCGCUCAGACCAGUGGAUGUGCAGAGCGGGUCCUCUCUUUGCUCAGCUCGGUUCCUCAUGGUCCCAGAAAGCGGCGCAUCCCACCAACAGAAAGUCAGCCCUUGGCGCCUCUCCAAACACAAACUGAGGCUCAGGGCCUGCAGUGGCCGCUGGUCACUCAGGGGCUUGGUACCGACCCCGGGGUCUUGCCAGCCUUCCUGUGUGGUCCUGGCGAGUUCUUCAAGACUAUGAGCUUGAAGCUCGUCUUGUCUAAAUCGGGAUAACAAGGUUUGAUAUUUGUACAGUGCUUUCUGACUUGACACCACUCCUGCAUUAUCUCUUCAGCUCUCACUACGACGCUGUGGGGCCACGUAAGCACGGUCACCCCGUGGCACACAGGAGGGAGCAGGCCCUGAGAGGACAGGGAACUGGCCUCCAUCCCGGAGGCACCUCCAUCUCAGGGCUGGCACCUGGGUCUUUGGAGCCUCAGCAAAACACCCCUUCCUCAACCUGGACUCCUCACCCUGGUCCGCAGAAACAGCCUCUGGGCACCCCGCUGCCAGCUGUUCCAUCCUUAGGGACACAUUUUCUCCGAUGGCCCCUCAGUUCCUCCCACAGGAUCCCUCUCCCGGCUCCACCAGCGCCUGACAGGCUGCCUCUGACCUGGCCUGGAUCCCGCCCUGCCUUGUAACGCUUUUGUGCGCUGUCCCUCACGCUGAACCUCAGGUCUGCACACACUUGCUCACUGACUCUGGACAAGUCACCUCAACUGCCUGAGCCUCAUCUUCUCAUCUAGAAACGGGGAGAACACUGAUUUCAGCGUUUGUCAUGAAAGUAAAUAAGAUGCUUUUGCAGAACCAUAAAAUCCUUUAUAAAGCAGCACUUGAUGCUCCCAGCAACCAAAGUAAAGACAGGCUGGGAGGAGGUGAGGGGCAGAAGAAGGGGCUGGGGAUGCACAGACCACUCAGGUCCUGGCUGUGACACCUUUACUUGUACAUCCCUGGAAAAAUUGCUCCGCCUUCCUGAGCCUCAGUGCUCAUCUUUGAUGGAAAUAUUUGAUCUUCUUACUAAAGUUUUUGUGAUGAUAAAAGGAGAUGAUGUAUCGAAGAUCUUAAUACAACGCCUGGCACUCAAUAACUUGUGUGGUGGUGGUGGUAUUAUUAUUAUUUUCUCUCUUGGAGCAGAGUCUUUUCUCACAAAUUUCGUGUCCCACAACAUUAAGCAUAGUGUUUUGCCAGUAAAAGGUGCCAAAAUAUAAUUUUUGAAGAAAUGAUUGAUUUUUUUUAAAUACUAUGAGAUAAUAAAAGAGAUAGGAACCACUGUAAAUUUUUAAAAGGUCUAUCUAACUAUCCUGCAUCACAAUUUUUUCCAUGUUAUAGAGAAAGUGAACAUGCCUCAAUUCUUGGGGUCCAUCCCGGUUAUUUCUCCACUUCUGAAGACUGUAGAAUAUGCUGUCUACAUACAUACAUAAUGAGAAUAUAACACUUCCUGGUCCGGUGCACAGGGAGCUUUCCAGGCUCCAUCACUCCCAUUAGAUGGUGAGCUCCAUGGGGACUGAGUCCACAUUUACAGCUCUUCAAACCCUCCGGAGUUAGCGGAAGGCAGGGCAAGGAGAGGCCUCCACUGAACGUCUGCUGCCACCACAAUGGUUCUACCCAGUCCGUGGCCCGGGGUCCAGGCAGGGUCGGUGCCAAGGCCUUGAGUAGGGGACGCAUUCUCCUUUCUCUUUCUGUGAAUGCCUUUGAGAAAAGCAGCCCUUAGGUUUGAC
ensembl:lncRNA